GGGUUGUGAGGUUAAGCGACUAAGCGUACACGGUGGAUGCCCUGGCAGUCAGAGGCGAUGAAGGGCGUGCUAAUCUGCGAUAAGCGCCGGUAAGGUGAUAUGAACCGUUAUAACCGGCGAUACCCGAAUGGGGAAACCCAGUGUGAUUCGUCACACUAUCAUUAACUGAAUCCAUAGGUUAAUGAGGCGAACCGGGGGAACUGAAACAUCUAAGUACCCCGAGGAAAAGAAAUCAACCGAGAUUCCCCAGUAGCGGCGAGCGAACGGGGAGGAGCCCAGAGCCUGAAUCAGCAUGUGUGUUAGUGGAAGCGUCUGGAAAGGCGCGCGAUACAGGGUGACAGCCCCGUACACAAAAGCGCAUGUGCUGUGAGCUCGAUGAGUAGGGCGGGACACGUGGUAUCCUGUCUGAAUAUGGGGGGACCAUCCUCCAAGGCUAAAUACUCCUGACUGACCGAUAGUGAACCAGUACCGUGAGGGAAAGGCGAAAAGAACCCCGGCGAGGGGAGUGAAAAAGAACCUGAAACCGUGUACGUACAAGCAGUGGGAGCACAGGUUUACCUGUGUGACUGCGUACCUUUUGUAUAAUGGGUCAGCGACUUAUAUUCUGUAGCAAGGUUAACCGUAUAGGGGAGCCGCAGGGAAACCGAGUCUUAAUUGGGCGUUAAGUUGCAGGGUAUAGACCCGAAACCCGGUGAUCUAGCCAUGGGCAGGUUGAAGGUUGGGUAACACUAACUGGAGGACCGAACCGACUAAUGUUGAAAAAUUAGCGGAUGACCUGUGGCUGGGGGUGAAAGGCCAAUCAAACCGGGAGAUAGCUGGUUCUCCCCGAAAGCUAUUUAGGUAGCGCCUCGUGAAUUCAUCUCCGGGGGUAGAGCACUGUUUCGGCUAGGGGGCCAUCCCGGCUUACCAACCCGAUGCAAACUGCGAAUACCGGAGAAUGUUAUCACGGGAGACACACGGCGGGUGCUAACGUCCGUCGUGAAGAGGGAAACAACCCAGACCGCCAGCUAAGGUCCCAAAGUCAUGGUUAAGUGGGAAACGAUGUGGGAAGGCCCAGACAGCCAGGAUGUUGGCUUAGAAGCAGCCAUCAUUUAAAGAAAGCGUAAUAGCUCACUGGUCGAGUCGGCCUGCGCGGAAGAUGUAACGGGGCUAAACCAUGCACCGAAGCUGCGGCAGCGACACUGUGUGUUGUUGGGUAGGGGAGCGUUCUGUAAGCCUGCGAAGGUGGCCUGUGAGGGUUGCUGGAGGUAUCAGAAGUGCGAAUGCUGACAUAAGUAACGAUAAAGCGGGUGAAAAGCCCGCUCGCCGGAAGACCAAGGGUUCCUGUCCAACGUUAAUCGGGGCAGGGUGAGUCGACCCUAAGGCGAGGCCGAAAGGCGUAGUCGAUGGGAAACGGGUUAAUAUUCCCGUACUUGGUGUUACUGCGAAGGGGGGACGGAGAAGGCUAUGUUGGCCGGGCGACGGUUGUCCCGGUUUAAGCGUGUAGGUGUGUGUUCCAGGUAAAUCCGGUUCACUUUAACACUGAGGCGUGACGACGAGGCACUACGGUGCUGAAGCAACAAAUGCCCUGCUUCCGGAAAGCCUCUAAGCAUCAGGUAACAUCAAAUCGUACCCCAAACCGACACAGGUGGUCAGGUAGAGAAUACCAAGGCGCUUGAGAGAACUCGGGUGAAGGAACUAGGCAAAAUGGUGCCGUAACUUCGGGAGAAGGCACGCUGACACGUAGGUGAAGUGAUUUACUCACGGAGCUGAAGUCAGUCGAAGAUACCAGCUGGCUGCAACUGUUUAUUAAAAACACAGCACUGUGCAAACACGAAAGUGGACGUAUACGGUGUGACGCCUGCCCGGUGCCGGAAGGUUAAUUGAUGGGGUCAGCGCAAGCGAAGCUCCUGAUCGAAGCCCCGGUAAACGGCGGCCGUAACUAUAACGGUCCUAAGGUAGCGAAAUUCCUUGUCGGGUAAGUUCCGACCUGCACGAAUGGCGUAAUGAUGGCCAGGCUGUCUCCACCCGAGACUCAGUGAAAUUGAACUCGCUGUGAAGAUGCAGUGUACCCGCGGCAAGACGGAAAGACCCCGUGAACCUUUACUAUAGCUUGACACUGAACAUUGAGCCUUGAUGUGUAGGAUAGGUGGGAGGCUUUGAAGUGUGGACGCCAGUCUGCAUGGAGCCGACCUUGAAAUACCACCCUUUAAUGUUUGAUGUUCUAACGUGGACCCGUAAUCCGGGUUGCGGACAGUGUCUGGUGGGUAGUUUGACUGGGGCGGUCUCCUCCUAAAGAGUAACGGAGGAGCACGAAGGUUGGCUAAUCCUGGUCGGACAUCAGGAGGUUAGUGCAAUGGCAUAAGCCAGCUUGACUGCGAGCGUGACGGCGCGAGCAGGUGCGAAAGCAGGUCAUAGUGAUCCGGUGGUUCUGAAUGGAAGGGCCAUCGCUCAACGGAUAAAAGGUACUCCGGGGAUAACAGGCUGAUACCGCCCAAGAGUUCAUAUCGACGGCGGUGUUUGGCACCUCGAUGUCGGCUCAUCACAUCCUGGGGCUGAAGUAGGUCCCAAGGGUAUGGCUGUUCGCCAUUUAAAGUGGUACGCGAGCUGGGUUUAGAACGUCGUGAGACAGUUCGGUCCCUAUCUGCCGUGGGCGCUGGAGAACUGAGGGGGGCUGCUCCUAGUACGAGAGGACCGGAGUGGACGCAUCACUGGUGUUCGGGUUGUCAUGCCAAUGGCACUGCCCGGUAGCUAAAUGCGGAAGAGAUAAGUGCUGAAAGCAUCUAAGCACGAAACUUGCCCCGAGAUGAGUUCCCCCUGAGACUUAGAGUCUCCUGAAGGAACGUUGAAGACGACGACGUUGAUAGGCCGGGUGUGUAAGCGCAGCGAUGCGUUGAGCUAACCGGUACUAAUGAACCGUGAGGCUUAACCUUACAACGCCGAAG
rnacentral:rRNA from 1 species